rnacentral:rRNA from 1 species
GGUUAAUAUUCCUGUGCCGUUCAAAUACGUGUGGUAACACAAGGUCAAUUUCUGACGCUUUGGGAUAAGUUUUGUAUUUUUGUCUGAGUAUUCAAGCUUAUAAAUCCGAGGAGAAUUGUAAUAAUGAGAAUCGGAUGAAAGAGUAAUGAGUNUUCCUUUAGGAGAAUUUAACUGAUUCCUNGANCGCGUGAAANNGGGAAUUGACNAGGAUUCUU